UGGGAAUAUAUUGGAGCGGAUAUUGAAAUACUUGUUGGUAGUUUGAGUCGAAGGCGAGAGAUGCCUUUCUCGAUGCCAUCUUGAUUGCGCAAUCGAGGCAUCGGUCCACGAGUACAGAAUUUAACGAUAAAGAUCGUACGGAUUAUAGAAUCCUAGACGGGGAACAGAGUCCCCUUCCUAUCUAUCCUCCUUUCCCGGGUUCUGUGCCUUUAUCGGUAUUACGAGCCUCAACCCCUCGCUGUUUACGAGAAAACCGCAUCGUUCCGUUAAAUGAAACCGAUAUUAUGUCAUCACGGUUACAGUUGGUUACUUAACCUCACUAUUCCUUUUCUGGAAGUUUCUUAUUGUAAAUCAAGUAUAUUCAUGGUUUUCGUUCAUUUACAGAAACGGAAAUGUUAACAAAGCAAGGAAGAGAGAAAAAUGUGCACCAACAAUUACAGUUUAUAUUAAGAGGACCGUCGUUUCACGCCCUUUGCAUACUUUCCUUUCUCAUUCACGAAAGAUAUGUAUUCAGUCUUGUACAAUAAUCGCUUCGUAUUUCUUGGAAUAAAGAGUCUUUGAACGAAGUAACUGUUCUUGCAUUAGUUUCAAAAAUAACAAUGAACACGAAUGGAAACAUGGUGAACACAAGAAUUUCAAAAAUAACAAUGAACACGAAUGGAAACAUGGUGAACACAAGAAGUAAUUACAAUACGGGUAGUCUUUUACAGUUUCUGAAACGGAGAAUUUCCUGCAUAAUUCUAUAUUACAAAAACGAAGAGGGAUUAAGGAGGAAGAUAGAAUUCUGGAACGCGAACGAUUCUGUCGAACGGAAAUGCAAUUCGCAGCGGCGCCGGUAGUCGAGUCUCAGCUCGAGUCGACAGAUAGAUAGAGUCAAGAUUCAAUUAGCUCUAGCUGUCAACUGCAUGAUACUCAUCGAUUCAAUACACCUUCUCGUUUGUGUGCCCCCGCACAUGCUUCUUUCUCGUGCGUGUUUGACUGCGUGAGCGAGCGCGCGCACGCGACCGUACGCCAGUUCAGGUUUCGCGUUUAGUCUCGUUACGUUUUGCACACCCGAACUCCUCCAUGUGUAUGUGUGUCAUCGUAUACCUGUACUAUACAUACGUGUUUGAUCACGUGAAUGCGCUUAGUACACGCGUGCAUGCUGAAAAUUAACCCGGUCGGGCAAAUCGUGAAUUUUGGAAAUGAUUUUACGGUCGCGGCAGAGUGCGAGGGAGUACAUAAAUUUUCGACGAGCUCGAUUUCACCGAAUAAUGAGACAGACCAUCUGUCGUAAUAGAAGUACCAGUAAUAUUCAAAUUCCUGAUUUACCGUGUUUAAAGAACUGUGUUAUACAAAAAGAAAACAUUCUAGCUAGUCAGUUUUCAGCUGUAGGUUAUGUUGAUUGAAUCAAUAUGAGAAAUUUUGUUGAAUUCGUUUUAAAUAUCUACUCAUUAUAUGGUUGAUGCUCAUUUAUAAUAAUGGUAUGUAGAAAGAAACGAUAUAAUAAGCUUGAAAGUUAAAAUAUUCAGAAUCGAUCUGCAUUGAUAUAGUCACAUUCAGAACAGAUGUUUUGUAAACACAUUUUGAAUCUUGGGUUACAAGGGUUACUUGUGAAUUGAUAUUCUGCUUAUCUUUAUAAUCUUUCAGCAAAACUAUAGAAUAUUACGACCUCUUGCUCAAUGACGAUAAUCAUCAUAUAAUGAAAGUUAAUCUAUAA
rnacentral:lncRNA from 1 species